rnacentral:rRNA from 1 species
GACGAACGCUGGCGGCGUGCUUAACACAUGCAAGUCGAACGGAAAGGCCCCUUUGGGGGUACUCGAGUGGCGAACGGGUGAGUAACACGUGAGUAACCUGCCCUUGACUUCGGGAUAACUUCAGGAAACUGGGGCUAAUACCGGAUAGGAAUCCUUGCUGCAUGGUGGGGGUUGGAAAGCUUCGGCGGUUUUGGAUGGACUCGCGGCUUAUCAGCUUGUUGGUGGGGUAGUGGCUUACCAAGGCUUUGACGGGUAGCCGGCCUGAGAGGGCGACCGGCCACAUUGGGACUGAGAUACGGCCCAGACUCCUACGGGAGGCAGCAGUGGGGAAUAUUGCACAAUGGGCGGAAGCCUGAUGCAGCAACGCCGCGGGCGGGAUGACGGCCUUCGGGUUGUAAACCGCUUUCAGCAGGGGCGAAGCGUGUGGUGGCGGUACCUGCAGAAGAAGCACCGGCUAACUACGUG